rnacentral:rRNA from 1 species
UGUGAUUAAAAAAAUACUUGAGUAGUAUGAGUUAUGUUCUUUAAACUUAAAGAAUUUGGCGGUGCUUUAGUCUGUUCAGAGGAACCUGUCCUGUAAUCGAUAGUCCACGUAGGAUCUUACUUAGUUUUGUUUAUCAGCUUAUAUACCGCCGUCGUCAGAAUGUCUUUGGAAAGAUGGAAUUUUCUUAAAUUUUUAUUAAAAAUGAUGUCAGGUCAAGGUGUAGCUUAUAAUUAAGUAGUGAUGGGUUACAAUAAAUUUAUUUAAAUGGAUUAUCUUUUGAAAAAGGGGUAUGAAGGUGGAUUUGAGUGUAAUUUUGUUUAUAAUGUUAAUUUGAUUUUAGCUCUAAA